GUUCACCACGCAAACCGUCAGCCUGCUGAGGGACGGACACACACACGGCAUCGCCUGCCUGGGCUUCAGCAGCGACGGACAGCGGUUGGUGUCGGUCGGGUUGGACGCCAAGAACACGGUUUGUAUCUGGGAGUGGAGGAAGGGGAAGAUCCUGGCCUCAGCCAGCGGACACUCGGACCGGAUCUUUGAUGUUUGCUGGGAUCCGUUUCAGCAGAACCGCCUGGUGAGCUGCGGAGUCAAACACAUCAAGUUCUGGUCGCUCUGUGGGAACGCGCUGACGCCA